rnacentral:rRNA from 1 species
UUGAACUGAAGAGUUUGAUCAUGGCUCAGAUUGAACGCUGGCGGCAGGCCUAACACAUGCAAGUCGAGCGGAUGAAGGGAGCUUGCUCCUGGAUUCAGCGGCGGACGGGUGAGUAAUGCCUAGGAAUCUGCCUGGUAGUGGGGGACAACGUUUCGAAAGGAACGCUAAUACC